UUUGGAGGGCAAGUCUGGUGCCAGCAGCCGCGGUAAUUCCAGCUCCAAUAGCGUAUAUUAAAGUUGUUGCAGUUAAAAAGCUCGUAGUUGAAUUUCGGGGUUAGUAGGUUGGUUAUGCCUCUGGUAUGUACUGGUCUCACUGAUUCCUCCUUCCUUAUGAACCGUAAUGCCAUUAAUCUGGUGUUGCGGGGAAUUUGGACUGUUACUUUGAAAAAAUUAAAGUGUUUAAAGCAGGCUAACGCUUGAAUACAUUAGCAUGGAAUAAUGAAAUAGGACGUUCGAUCUUAUUUUGUUGGUUUCUAGGAUUGACGUAAUGAUUAAUAGGGAUAGUUGGGGGCAUUAGUAUUCAAUUGUCAGAGGUGAAAUUCUUGGAUUUAUUGAAGACUAACUACUGCGAAAGCAUUUGCCAAGGAUGUUUUCAUUAAUCAAGAACGAAAGUUAGGGGAUCGAAGACGAUCAGAUACCGUCGUAGUCUUAACCAUAAACUAUGCCGACUAGGGAUCGGAUGAUGUUAAUUUUUUAAUGACUCAUUCGGCGCCUUACGGGAAAC
rnacentral:rRNA from 1 species